AACAACAACAACACCACUUUUGAUGCAGUUGCAGUAUCCUUGUAAAAAUACCUCGUAUUUAAUCGGUGGUUAAUAAAAAACGAUAGCUUUCGGGAUAGCCGGGAUGGUUAAAAACAUUUCUGGUGAAAUUAAUUGAUUUGUGACUGAUCGCAUCAACAACGACGUCAAUGACCCCAAAGAUCAAUCACGAUGGCCGGGUGUUUAUGUCGUCUCAUUGGAUAAUGUAGUAAGUGGAGGACGAUUUCAUCAUCGCCAUCGGGCCCAACUAAAGAUCCAGCAAACAACCGAAAGCUAUACUCAUCCAAGAGAUGUUAAAAAUAAACAAUUUGUUUGUUCGAGAUGCCUGACAUCCCGGGUAUCAAAUAUGAAAUAACCGGAAUUGACGAUGAGUCUUCUGGUGAAAUGCAGGGGAUAAAUUAUCGUUUUGCUACAACAGCAGCCGGAUGGUACGGUAGACAAUCGGCAGUCCCAGUUUCGAAAAACGUGGUCUGUACAACAACAGUAGGUGCAUAAUCGAGGUCAUUCCGCAUCUCAACAACAAUAUUCCCAAGUUAAGCAUCGGACAUCUCAAUCGUGUAUCAACCGACUCAGGGGAGAAAACAUGCUUCUCGUCAUCAGAACGUUCAGGAGUCGGAAUCAACAUAUAUGGUGCUCCUCUAGUCUGACAUAAACCCACACAUGGAUUCGAUUUUUUUGACGAAAAUAAUCGACACCGCAGUGGAAACAAAAAC